GCUAACCAUGCAAGUCGAACGGUAGCACAGAGAGCUUGCUCUCGGGUGACGAGUGGCGGACGGGUGAGUAAUGUCUGGGAAACUGCCUGAUGGAGGGGGAUAACUACUGGAAACGGUAGCUAAUACCGCAUAACGUCGCAAGACCAAAGAGGGGGACCUUCGGGCCUCUUGCCAUCAGAUGUGCCCAGAUGGGAUUAGCUAGUAGGUGGGGUAACGGCUCACCUAGGCGACGAUCCCUAGCUGGUCUGAGAGGAUGACCAGCCACACUGGAACUGAGACACGGUCCAGACUCCUACGGGAGGCAGCAGUGGGGAAUAUUGCACAAUGGGCGCAAGCCUGAUGCAGCCAUGCCGCGUGUAUGAAGAAGGCCUUCGGGUUGUAAAGUACUUUCAGCGGGGAGGAAGGUGUUGUGGUUAAUAACCGCAGCAAUUGACGUUACCCGCAGAAGAAGCACCGGCUAACUCCGUGCCAGCA
rnacentral:rRNA from 1 species